rnacentral:rRNA from 1 species
AGCAGCCGCGGUAAUUCCAGCUCCAAUAGCGUAUAUUAAAGUUGUUGCAGUUAAAAAGCUCGUAGUUGAAUUUCGGGAUCAAUAUAUUGGUCAUGCUUAGGUAUGUACUGGUAUUAUUGAUUUCUCCCUUCUGAAGAACCAUGAUGUCAUUAAUUUGAUGUCGUGGGGAAUCAGGACUGUUACUUUGAAAAAUUAGAGUGUUUAAAGCAGGCUUUCGCUUGAAUACAUUAGCAUGGAAUAAUGAAAUAGGACGUUUGAUUCUAUUUUGUUGGUUUCUAGGAUCGACGUAAUGAUUAAUAGGGAUAGUUGGGGGCAUUAGUAUUCAAUUGUCAGAGGUGAAAUUCUUGGAUUUAUUGAAGACUAACUAUUGCGAAAGCAUUUGCCAAGGAUGUUUUCAUUAAUCAAGAACGAAAGUUAGGGGAUCGAAGACGAUCAGAUACCGUCGUAGUCUUAACCAUAAACUAUGCCGACUAAGGAUCGGAUGAUGUUAAUUUUUUAAUGACUCU